GAUGAACGCUGGCGGCGUGCCUAAUACAUGCAAGUCGAACGCGCAGCGAGAGGUGCUUGCACCUUUCAAGCGAGUGGCGAACGGGUGAGUAACACGUGGAUAACCUGCCUCAAGGCUGGGGAUAACAUUUGGAAACAGAUGCUAAUACCGACUAAAACUUAGUAUCGCAUGAUAUCAAGUUAAAAGGCGCUACGCAGUCACCUAGAGAUGGAUACGCGGUGCAUUAGUGGGUUGGUGGGGUAAAGGCUUACCAAGACAAGGAUGCGUAGCCGAGUUGAGAGACUGAUCGGCCACAUUGGGACUGAGACACGGCCCAAACUCCUACGGGAGGCUGCAGUAGGGAAUCUUCCACAAUGGGCGAAAGCCGGAUGGAGCAACGCAGCGUGUGUGAUGAAGGCUUUCGGGUCGUAAAGCACUGUUGUAUGGGAAGAAAUGCUAAAAUAGGGAAUGAUUUUAGUUUGACGGUACCAUACCAGAAAGGGACGGCUAAAUACGUGCCAGCAGCCGCCGUAA
rnacentral:rRNA from 1 species